rnacentral:rRNA from 1 species
UUGAGCUCAGAUCAGGUAGGACUACCGCCUGAACUUAAGCAUAUCAAUAAGGCGAGGAACAGAAACCGACAGGGAUUCCCCUAGUAGUGGCGAAUGAAGCGGGAAAAGCUCAAGUUUGAAAUCUGGCGGGUGACCUCCAGAGUUGUAAGCUGAAGAGGCAUAGACCGACGCGGUCCGGGCUCAAUUUCCUUGGAACAGGAGGUCAUGGAGGGUGAGAACCCCGUCUGUGGCUCGAGUGCCGUCGUCCUUGCGUCUUGCCCUCGUAGAGUCGGGUUGUUUGGGAAUGCAGCUCAAAAUGGGUGGUAAAUUUCAUCUAAAGCUAAAUAUUGGCGAGAGACCGAUAGCAAACAAGUAGAGUGAUCGAAAGAUGAAAAGUACUUUGAAAAGAGAGUGAAACAGUACGUGAAAUUGUUGAAAGGGAAGCGUUUGGCAUCAGCCCAUGGCGCUCGAAGAUCAUCCGGGCUUCUGUCCGGUGCACUUUUCGAGUGUUGGGCCAGCGUCGACUUUGCCCGCCGGAGAAAGGCCAGGGGGACGUGUCUCCCUUCGGGGAGAGUUAUAACCCCUGGCGUCAUGUGGUGUGGUGGGGUCGAGGUCCG